GGAUGUGAGGGCGAUCUGGCUGCGACAUCUGUCACCCCAUUGAUCGCCAGGGUUGAUUCAGCUGAUCUGGGCUAGGCGGGCCCUCUCCCUUGCUUACUGGCUUCUUCAAGUGUCCACACGGGUGCACUUGCUGCAUUGCCCCCCCCCCCCCCCCCCCUCCCGAGGAGAGGACUGGUCUUCGGUCAAGGGUAUACGAGUAGCUGCGCUCCCCUGCUAGAACCUUCAAACAAGCUCUCAAGAAAAAAGACAAUAAAAAGUCAUGGCGAGGAGGGAGGGACUGGAUCUCACACACUGUUGGUG
rnacentral:snRNA from 1 species